rnacentral:rRNA from 1 species
AUAUUGCACAAUGGGGGAAACCCUGAUGCAGCAACGCCGCGUGAAGGAAGACGGUUUUCGGAUUGUAAACUUCUGUUCUUAGUGAAGAUAGUGACGGUAGCCGAGGAGGAAGCCACGGCGAACUACGUGCCAGCAGCCGCGGUAAUACGUAGGUGGCAAGCGUUGUCCGGAAUUACUGGGUGUAAAGGGAGCGUAGGCGGGAGUGCAAGUCGGCUGUCUAAACUAUGGGCUCAACCCAUAAUCGCGGCCGAAACUGUACUUCUUGAGUGAAGUAGAGGUAAGCGGAAUUCCUAGUGUAGCGGUGAAAUGCGUAAAUAUUAGGAGGAACACCAGUGGCGAAGGCGGCUUACUGGGCUUUAACUGACGCUGAGGCUCGAAAGCGUGGGUAGCAAACA